GACGAACGCUGGCGGCGUGCCUAAUACAUGCAAGUCGAACGAGAGCGACCGGUGCUUGCACUGGUCAAUCUAGUGGCGAACGGGUGAGUAACACGUGGGUAACCUGCCCAUCAGAGGGGGAUAACAUCCGGAAACGGAUGCUAAAACCGCAUAGGUCUUCGAGCCGCAUGGCUUGAAGAGGAAAAGAGGCGCAAGCUUCUGCUGAUGGAUGGACCCGCGGUGCAUUAGCUAGUUGGUGAGGUAACGGCUCACCAAGGCCGUGAUGCAUAGCCGACCUGAGAGGGUGAUCGGCCACAUUGGGACUGAGACACGGCCCAAACUCCUACGGGAGGCAGCAGUAGGGAAUCUUCCGCAAUGGACGCAAGUCUGACGGAGCAACGCCGCGUGAGUGAAGAAGGUUUUCGGAUCGUAAAACUCUGUUGUUAGAGAAGAACAAGUGCUAGGAGUAACUGUUAGCGC
rnacentral:rRNA from 1 species